rnacentral:lncRNA from 1 species
AUUAUCCUGGUUUCAUUUGCUAUACCAGGAAUGUUGGUCCCUGGAGAAAAAUGCCAAACAAGUAUAACAAGUAUCAACUGAGAACACUCUGACUGGGAAGAAUGCUAUUUGUCUUUCACAAUGAGGACUUGAGAAGAGUAAUAGCCAUUGGUGAACUCCCAGGAGUGAAGAUUCUAGAUGUGUGCUUAUUGUUUCUUGCCUGCCGGUUUACUUUCUAUACUUGCCUGACAGAGAAGAUAACAGAUGCAGAGUGUGAGAGCAGAAGAAAAACAAAAUAUGUCCUGAUCUCAAAGUCAAAAUUAACUCCAACAAGAAGAGAAAGUUGAAGAAGAAUCUGCUCCAGGUCUGGGAAAGUGUCCAGGGCAUACGUCCUUCAAUAUUCCACACUUCUUCUAGCUGAGAUCUGAUCACCGGCUCUUAAAUACUUUUCCCUACAUGUGAUUUAUUACUUUUACUCCCAGUCAUUGGCCAGAGCUUACCACAUGGCCCAGUCAACUGCAAAGAAGCUGAGAAAUGUAAUUUUCCAAGUACUGGGAAGAAGAAAACUGGAAAUAUGGCAUCAGUUCCUGCUCCUGCCAGCUCUCUCUUCUCUUACAGUUCCUCGUCCCUGGUAGACUGUGACAGCA